rnacentral:lncRNA from 1 species
UAUUUCUCUACGCUUUCUUUAUGCAAUUUUGGAGACAGAGAGAAUUGUUAGGGUUUUGGAGACUUUUUACUUGAAGGUGCUUUCAAUCCUUUUCUUGAAUAUAUUUUCUAUGAUUUCAAUUAUGAAUAUGCAUAACUAAUUCCUUUUGCUAGGGCGAAGCCUUGAGCCUUAGCAUGAAUAUGUGAUUUUUAUUUAAUUUCUUAUAAUUGAUUGCAUGCAUACAUUGAAUUAUUAAUCACCGGGAUUAAAACUAUCUAAUUGUCUUAAUGCCUGAUCACCAUUAGGAUCUUUAGAAAAGUAAUUUGAUGCAAUUUUGGGUGCAAGGUUCCCUGAAAUUGACACUGGCUUCUUGUGAUUAAUAAUUGUAAUUUCACUUAGGAUGAACACCACGUGUUAAGGAUUGCAAGGUUUUUCAAAGGGUUUUCAUAAAGCAUAAUGAGUCUUUCAUGUUCAGAUUUAAUUCGAACGUCCUGACGGGUUGCAAGUUAGAUAUACGUUCUAUGUUGGAGGUUCCAAGUAGAAUAUAAAUUAGGAAAACCUAACCUUCAAAGUGGCAUGUGUAGAUCAUAAGUAAUUGGUAAAAGUUCAUAGGAUUGCUAGGUGAUGGUGGAACCCUAGUGUUUUCUUAAUUUGAUUCUUCCAAAACUGUUUUCUUUUUCCCCCAGUUCUACUAUUGCAGAUUGUUUAUUUUAAUUAAUUAAAUUUGUUUUUAAUUUAAGUAGGUUAUAAAAUCAAUCACCUCAAUUUCUACUUUACAAUAAUUAAUUGGAAUUUGGUUAGUUUCGAAUUAUUUAAUAAUCCCUGUGGAGAACGAUCUUGCGAGAUCCAUUUAUACUACAAUAACCUUGUGAUUCUUGCAAGUAUAAUAGGAGUUUUUAGCCCGUUCACAUGAGUAGUAAAGUCCCUAUCAAUUUCCCUCUUGGUUUGGGAAACUUGAAAACUUGUCCUUGCUUUGGAGGGAUUACCUUUUGUAUUUUGGCAAGGAAAGGUACUUUGCUUUGAUGUUUUGGAAAUUUUGAAGCCCUUUCCUUAUUUUUUUUGUUUCCUUUUCUUUUCUUUGCUGAUUUUGUUACAAAAACAGCGUGCUUUUUUCCCUUUGUGGCCAAAAUCACCUUGCCAUUUUUGCUUGGAAUUUGCUUCCUUCUUUGGGUUGGAAUGUACUUCUGUUUUUUUAUUUUCCUUUUGCUAUUUGGUAUGUAUUCUCCCUAUAGCAUUAGGAAGCAAUUGAUCCUUAUUUAUAGGACAAUUAGGUGUGUGUUUUUGGCACAAUAAACUUUGCCAUGCACAUUGACUCUGCUUGCUGCCGCGGGAUUUUUUUUUUUUUUUGCUAUUGCUGCUGCCAUGAGUUUUGUUGCAUUGCAUCACAUUUUACCGCGUGGUGAAAUGCAAAAGACUGCAAUGAGGUUACGCUAUGUAGUGCCUUUUGGUCGCAGUUUCUCGAUGGUGACGUUGUCGUG